rnacentral:lncRNA from 1 species
CUCUAUGGGGUGCCUAUGAGUUCCUAUGGGGCUCCAUGAGUUCCUAUGGGGCUCUAUGGGGUGCCUAUGAGUUCCUAUGGGGCUCUAUGGGGUGCCUAUGAGUUCCUAUGGGGCUCUAUGGAGUGCCUAUGAGUUCCUAUGGGGCUCUAUGGGUCACUAUGGAGCUCUAUGGGGUGCCUAUGAGUUUCUAUGGGGUGCCUAUGAGUUCCUAUGGGUCACUAUGGGGCUCUAUGUGGUCCCUAUGGGUCACUAUGGAGCUCUAUGGGGUGCCUAUGAGUUCCUAUGGGUCACUAAGGGUCCCUAUGGGGUCUCUAUGGGUCUCUAUGGGGUCCCUGUGCGUCUCUAUGGGUCCCUAUGAGUUUCUAUGGGUCAUCAAGGGUCCCUAUGGGGUCUCUAUGUGUCUCUAUGGGGUCCCUAUGUGUCUCUAUGGCUCUCUAUGGGGUUCCUAUGUGUCCCUAUGGGGUCCCUAUGGGGUCCCUAUGUGUCUCUAUGGGUCCCUAUGGGGUUCCUAUGGGUCGCUAUGGGUCCCUAUGGGGUUUCUAUGCGUUCCUAUGGGGUCCCUAUGGGUCCCUAUGGGUUCCUAUGGGGUCCCUAUGUGUCUCUAUGGGUCCCUAUGGGUCUCUAUAGGGUUCCUAUGGGUCUCUAUGUGUCCCUAUGGGUCUCUAUGUGUCCCUAUGGGUCCCUAUGGGUCUCUAUGGGUCCCUAUGUGUCUCUAUGGGGUUCCUAUGGGUCCCUAUGUGUCCCUAUGUGUCCCUAUGGGGUCUCUAUGGGUCCCUAUGGGUCCCUAUGGGUCCCUAUGUGUCCCUAUGGGGUCCCUAUGGGGUCUCUAUGGGUCACUGUGGGGUUCUUAUGGGUCCCUAUGUGUCUCUAUGGGUCCCUAUGGGUCCCUAUGGGUCCCUAUGUGUCUCUAUGGGUCCCUAUGUGUCCCUAUGGGUCCCUAUGGGUCCCUAUGGGGUUUCUAUGGGUCUCUAUGGGUCCCUAUGGGUCCCUAUGGGUUCCUAUGGGUCCCUAUGGGGUUUCCAUGGGUCCCUAUGGGGUUCCUAUGGGUCCGUACCUUCUCCCAGUGUCUUCCCCGUCCUCACUCUCUGCUGUUCCACCAUCACGUCCCGCAGCCGCACGCGGAGAUCGGCCCCGACACCCAGGGAGC